rnacentral:rRNA from 1 species
AUUGAACGCUGGCGGCAUGCUUUACACAUGCAAGUCGAACGGUAACAGGCCGCAAGGUGCUGACGAGUGGCGAACGGGGGAGUAAUGCAACGGAACGUGCCCAGUCGUGGGGGAUAAGUAAUCGAAAGAGUAGCUAAUACCGCAUACGAUCUAUGGAUGAAAGCGGGGGGGCGUAAGGGUUCGCGCGAUUGGAGCGGCCGAUGUCAGAUUAGGUAGUUGGUGGGGUAAAGGCUCACCAAGCCAACGAUCUGUAACUGGUCUGAGAGGAGGACCAGCCACACUGGAACUGAGCCACGGCCCAGACUCCUACGGGAGGCAGCAGUGGGGAAUUUUGGACAAUGGGCGCAAGCCUGAUCCAGCAAUGCCGCGUGCAGGAAGAAGGCCUUCGGGUUGUAAACUGCUUUUGUACGGAACGAAACGGCUCUGGUUAAUACCCGGGGCUAAUGACGGUACCGUAAGAAUAAGCACCGGCUAACUACGUG